GAGAGAGAGACAUGCGCGCAUAUCAAUAAGCGGAGGAAAAGAAACUAACAAGGAUUCCCCUAGUAACGGCGAGUGAAGCGGGAAGAGCUCAAAUUUGAAAUCUUAAAGGGUUUCCCUUUACGAAUUGUAGUUUAAAGAAGUGUUUUCUGUUGAGGUUUUGGUAAAAGUUCUUUGGAAUAGGACAUCAUAGAGGGUGAGAAUCCCGUAUUUGACCAUUACUUUCCAACUUUGUGAUACACUUUCAAAGAGUCGGAUUGUUUGGGAAUGCAGUCCAAAAUGGGUGGUAAAUUUCAUCUAAAGCUAAAUAUUGGCGAGAGACCGAUAGCGAACAAGUACCGUGAGGGAAAGAUGAAAAGAACUUUGAAAAGAGAGUUAAACAGUACGUGAAAUUGUCAAAAGGGAAGCGUUUGACACCAGUGUUGUUUUUCUGAAAAUCAAUUAAAGAACUGUUUAUGCUAAGCUGUUUAGACUUUAUCAGCUAACUGUUUAGUUUUGAGCUUUUCUUUAAUGCACUUUUCAGUUAACAAGUCAACAUCAAUUUCUUUUGCUGUAAAAAGGCUUGAGGAAGGUGGCUUGAGAUUCGUCUUAAGUGUUUAUAGCCUCCUGCCUAUGCAGUCGGAGAGAUUGAGGUCUGCAGCGUAGAUCCUUCGGGGUUAGAUACAUUUGUGCUAAGUUAUAGCCUUUCAUAGACAACUUGUUGACUAUGAUCAGUCAUGUAGCUUACUCGCUUAUGCUAUUUUACCUACGCUUAGGAUGUUGAUGUGAUACUGCGAGCA
rnacentral:rRNA from 1 species